rnacentral:ncRNA from 1 species
AUAUUUGCUUUGAUAAGGAGUAGUAGGAAACAUGAGUCUUUAAGAGAGCUGACGGUUGGUGGGAGUCAGUAGAGGCAUGUUUGUGAACUCGCCUUUGAGCUAUAAAUGUGAACGAAAGCAGUAGCAUUUGUCGUUAGUCCACGUUACGGACGUAAAGCUGAGCGUUUUAAGCGCUAAUUUGGGUGGUACCGCGGGAAAGCAUCUCUCGUCCCUUUG